AUACGUACUACACAUGUCACGCCCCGAGCCCGAUCCUCUUUGGCCGGUUCGAGAGCGUGAAACAGACGCCAAACGGAAAGAGCCUCCCCUGUCCGCCCAAGGCUCAACAAUAGGUACAGAUAGAGUAUAGAAAUUGCAUAAGCGAAAGUAUACACAAUGGCUUGUACGAGGGAAAGCAAUAGCCAAGAGUAAAAGUAAACAACUACACUUAAGGAAUCGAUUACAUUUUUUAUCAUUUCUUUUCUUUUACAUCACAGGAUCUCAAAAUAUCAUUCUUGCAUUUAAAUAUAAAGAUCUUUCACAACAUACAUAUUCUUUUCUUUAACAACUAAAUCGUCAAGUACAAAAGAUGACAUAUAA
rnacentral:lncRNA from 1 species